GACGAACGCUGGCGGCGUGCCUAAUACAUGCCAGUAGAACGCUGAAGGAGGAGCUUGCUUCUCUGGAUGAGUUGCGAACGGGUGAGUAACGCGUAGGUAACCUGCCUGGUAGCGGGGGAUAACUAUUGGAAACGAUAGCUAAUACCGCAUAAUAGUAGAUGUUGCAUGACAUUUGCUUAAAAGGUGCAAUUGCAUCACUACCAGAUGGACCUGCGUUGUAUUAGCUAGUUGGUGAGGUAACGGCUCACCAAGGCGACGAUACAUAGCCGACCUGAGAGGGUGAUCGGCCACACUGGGACUGAGACACGGCCCAGACUCCUACGGGAGGCAGCAGUAGGGAAUCUUCGGCAAUGGACGGAAGUCUGACCGAGCAACGCCGCGUGAGUGAAGAAGGUUUUCGGAUCGUAAAGCUCUGUUGUAAGAGAAGAACGAGUGUGAGAGUGGAAAGUUCACACUGUGACGGUAGCUUACCAGAAAGGGACGGCUAACUACGUG
rnacentral:rRNA from 1 species